GUUUUCCACGGGUGCACUCAUUCC
rnacentral:piRNA from 1 species